rnacentral:rRNA from 1 species
CAACUUUCAACAACGGAUCUCUUGGCUCUCGCAUCGAUGAAGAACGCAGCGAAAUGCGAUACGUAAUGUGAAUUGCAGAAUUCAGUGAAUCAUCAAAUCUUUGAACGCACCUUGCGCCCCUUGGUAUUCCGAGGGGCACACCCGUUUGAGUGUCGUGA